GAUGAACGCUGACAGAAUGCUUAACACAUGCAAGUCAACUUGAAUUUGGGGUUUUAACUUAGGUUUGGGUGGCGGACGGGUGAGUAACGCGUAAAGAACUUGCCUCACAGCUAGGGACAACAUUUGGAAACGAAUGCUAAUACCUAAUAUUAUGAUAAUAGGGCCUCCUAUAAUUAUUAAAGCUAUAAGCGCUGUGAGAGAGCUUUGCGUCCCAUUAGCUAGUUGGGGAGGUAACGGCUCACCCAGGCGAUGAUGGGUAGCCGGCCUGAGAGGGUGAUCGGCCACAAGGGGACUGAGACACGGCCCUUACUCCUACGGGAGGCAGCAGUGGGGAAUAUUGGACAAUGGACCGAGAGUCUGAUCCAGCAAUUCUGUGUGCACGAUGAAGUUUUUCGGAAUGUAAAGUGCUUUCAGUUGGGAAGAAACAAAUGACGGUACCAACAGAAGAAGUGACGGCUAAAUACGUG
rnacentral:rRNA from 1 species